AGAGUUUGAUCCUGGCUCAGAUUGAACGCUGGCGGCAUGCCUUACACAUGCAAGUCGAACGGUAACGGGCCUUCGGGUGCCGACGAGUGGCGAACGGGUGAGUAAUGUAUCGGAACGUACCUUUCAGUGGGGGAUAACGUAGCGAAAGUUACGCUAAUACCGCAUAUUCUGUGAGCAGGAAAGCAGGGGAUCGCAAGACCUUGCGCUGAUUGAGCGGCCGAUAUCAGAUUAGCUAGUUGGUGAGGUAAAGGCUCACCAAGGCGACGAUCUGUAGCGGGUCUGAGAGGAUGAUCCGCCACACUGGAACUGAGACACGGUCCAGACUCCUACGGGAGGCAGCAGUGGGGAAUUUUGGACAAUGGGGGCAACCCUGAUCCAGCCAUGCCGCGUGAGUGAAGAAGGCCUUCGGGUUGUAAAGCUCUUUCGGCCGGGAAGAAAUCGUAUGGGCUAAUACCCUGUGCGGAUGACGGUACCGGCAUAAGAAGCACCGGCUAACUACGUG
rnacentral:rRNA from 1 species